rnacentral:rRNA from 1 species
AUUGAACGCUGGCGGCACGCCUAACACAUGCAAGUCGAACGGCAGCACGGAGAGUAGCAAUACUUUUGGGUGGCGAGUGGCGGACGGGUGAGUAACGCGUAGGAAUCUACCCUAGAGAUGAGGAUAACUUGGGGAAACUCAAGCUAAUACUGAAUACGCCCUUAGGGGUAAAGGUUGCGCAAGCAGCCGCUUUAGGAUGAGCCUGCGUUAGAUUAGCUAGUUGGUGGGGUAAAGGCCUACCAAGGCGACGAUCUAUAGCUGUUCUGAGAGGAAGAUCAGCCACACUGGGACUGAGACACGGCCCAGACUCCUACGGGAGGCAGCAGUGGGGAAUCUUGGACAAUGGGGGCAACCCUGAUCCAGCGAUGCCGCGUGUGUGAAGAAGGCCUUAGGGUUGUAAAGCACUUUAAUGAGGGAGGAGUAGGGUUCGUUGAAUAGGCGGAUCUGAGGACGUUACCUCAAGAAUAAGCACCGGCUAACUCUGUGCCAGCA